rnacentral:rRNA from 1 species
AUUGAACGCUGGCGGCAGGCCUAACACAUGCAAGUCGAACGUGUGGCGGACGUGUGUGUUAUUUCUGGGCAACUGCCCGAUGGUGGGCGAUAACUAUUGGUAACGGUAUCUAAUACCCCAUUCCAUCCGAUGUGCCCAGAUGGUAUUAGUUAGUAGGUGGGGUAACGGCUCACCUAUGCGACGAUCCCUAGAUGGUCUGAGGGGAUGACCGACCACACGGAAACUGCGACACGUUCCAGGCUCCUACGGAAGGCAGCAGUGGGGAAUAUUGCACAAGGGGGGGAAGCCUGAUGUAACCAUGCCGCGUGUAUGAAAAGGGCCUUCGGGUUGUAAAGUACUGUCAGCGGGGGGGCGGGAAGCGAAGAAGAAGCAACGGCUAACUCCGUGCCAGCAGCCGCGGUAAGAA